AGAGUUUGAUCAUGGCUCAGGAUGAACGCUGGCGGCAUGCCUAAUACAUGCGAGUCGAACGAGAGGAAGGAAAGCUUGCUUUCCUGAAUCUAGUGGCGAACGGGUGAGUAACACGUAGGUAACCUGCCCAUGUGCCCGGGAUAACUUCUGGAAACGGAUGCUAAAACCGGAUAGGUAGCAGACAAGCAUUUGACUGCUAUUAAAGUGGCCUUGGCCAUGAACAUGGAUGGACCUGCGGUGCAUUAGCUGGUUGGUGAGGUAACGGCCCACCAAGGCGACGAUGCAUAGCCGGCCUGAGAGGGCGGACGGCCACAUUGGGACUGAGACACGGCCCAAACUCCUACGGGAGGCAGCAGUAGGGAAUUUUCGUCAAUGGGGGGAACCCUGAACGAGCAAUGCCGCGUGAGUGAGGAAGGUCUUCGGAUCGUAAAGCUCUGUUGUAAGAGAAAAACGGCACUCAUAGGGAAUGAUGAGUGAGUGAUGGUAUCUUACCAGAAAGUCACGGCUAACUACGUGCCAGCAGCCGCGGUAAUACGUAGGUGGCGAGCGUUAUCCGGAAUGAUUGGGCGUAAAGGGUGCGUAGGUGGCAGAUCAAGUCUGGAGUAAAAGGUAUGGGCUCAACCCGUACUGGCUCUGGAAACUGAUCCGCUAGAGAACAGAAGAGGACGGCGGAACUCCAUGUGUAGCGGUAAAAUGCGUAGAUAUAUGGAAGAACACCGGUGGCGAAGGCGGCCGUCUGGUCUGGAUUCUGACACUGAAGCACGAAAGCGUGGGGAGCAAAUAGGAUUAGAUACCCUAGUAGUCCACGCCGUAAACGAUGAGAACUAGGUGUUGGGGGAAUACUCA
rnacentral:rRNA from 1 species